rnacentral:misc_RNA from 1 species
AAUUCGGAAAUUCCAACAGUUCUACUAUAACCACAGCUGCAGCUGAAGAUUGAAAUGAAAGGUUGUUUAUCGCUUGUUCUUGAAAUUCAUUUCACUGUUUAUAAGCAAUAAUAACGGUUUAAUCAUUAAUUUGUGCAGCUUAUAAAGCAACUAUUUUCAGUGGAUAAUUGCAAAACACAUUUCAUAUCUGGAAUUAUAUUUGUUUUGACCAUGUGAUCGUUGAACUUUUAAUUUCUUCCAAUUAAUCGAAUUUAUAUUCUUCUAACUUCUUAGCUAGUGAGUUUUAUAGCAACUGAGAGGUAUCCAGACAUUUUUUAUUACUGCAUCUUUUUCUUACAACCACCAUUACUUUAAGCCUCAAUGAGAGGAAGAAGGAUUCAAAUGCAUUUGACUACAAACAGACUACGACAACUUUAAAAUAAAAGAAGUGCGUGCAGAAUGUAAAAGUAUUACAGGAUGCCAUCGGGACAAGAAGAAGCAUUCUUGCAACGAAAUACUUCGGAACAACAAAAUACAAACCUGCACACCAUAAAAGAACAAGUUAGUCACUUUUUAAUGUCUUAGACUUAUCACCUUUUAGUUUAUUAAUGAAGAUACACCCAUCAUAGUAUAAUAUUGUCACACAUAUAUAUUUAUUUAGUCAUAAUUGAAGAAUUUAACUUUUAACUCAGAGAUAAAUAAAUAGAAAUG